rnacentral:tRNA from 1 species
CAUCUCUCUUACACUGAGAAAUCGCCCGUGCAAAUCGAGUCGUUUUG